CUGGAAGGAGAGGUGGCCCAAAGGGGAAUUGUGGGCUUCCACUCUUCUCGCUCCAGGAUGGGACUGCGGCCGAUCAGGCUGUUGGCGGGGUAAUGGCCCACCAAACCUGUAACCGGUACGGGCCUUGAGAGAGGUGGCCCGGAGAUGGACACUGAGACAAGGGUCCAGGUCCUACGGGGCGCAGCAGGCGCGAAACCUUCGCAAUGCGCGAAAGCGUGACGAGGUUAAUCCGAGUGGCUUCCGCUGAGGAAGUCUUUUGCCGACUCUAAAAUGGUCGGAGAAUAAGGGGAGGGCAAGUCUGGUGUCAGCCGCCGCGGUAAUACCAGCUCCUCGAGUGGUCGGGGCGAUUAUUGGGCCUAAAGCAUCCGUAGCCGGUUCUGUAGGUCUCCUGCAAAAUCCAGUCGCUCAACGAUUGGCCCGCAGGAGAUACCGCAGGACUAGGAGGCGGGAGAGGUGGACGGUACUCCACGUGUAGGGGUAAAAUCCUUUGAUCCCCGGAAGACCACCAGUGGCGAAGGCGGUCCGCCAGAACGCGCUCGACGGUGAGGGAUGAAAGCUGGGGGAGCGAACCGGAUUAGAUACCCGGGUAGUCCCAGCUGUAAACGAUGCGAGCUAGGUGACACGACGCCUUCGGGGCAUCGUGGUGCCGCAGGGAAGCCGUUAAGCUCGCCGCCUGGGGAGUACGGACGCAAGUCUGAAACUUAAAGGAAUUGGCGGGGGAGCACCACAAGGGGUGAAGCCUGCGGUUCAAUUGGAUUCAACGCCGGG
rnacentral:rRNA from 1 species